rnacentral:rRNA from 1 species
UACGAAGGGGGCUAGCGUUGCUCGGAAUCACUGGGCGUAAAGGGUGCGUAGGCGGGUCUUUAAGUCAGGGGUGAAAUCCUGGAGCUCAACUCCAGAACUGCCUUUGAUACUGAAGAUCUUGAGUUCGGGAGAGGUGAGUGGAACUGCGAGUGUAGAGGUGAAAUUCGUAGAUAUUCGCAAGAACACCAGGGGCGAAGGCGGCUCACGGGCCCGAUACGGACGCUGAGGCACGAAAGCGUGGGGAGCAAACAGG